UACGUACUGUGCGAACGUUAUUCGGAAUCACUGGGCUUAAAGGGUGUGUAGGCGGCCGGACAAGUAGGGUGUGAAAGGCCUCGGCUCAACCGGGGCAUUGCGCUCUAGACUGUCUGGCUCGAGCAAGAUAGGGGUGUGUGGAACUUCCAGUGGAGCGGUGAAAUGUGUUGAUAUUGGAAGGAACGCCGGUGGCGAAAGCGGCACACUGGGUCUUGUCUGACGCUGAGACACGAAAGCCAGGGGAGCGAACGGG
rnacentral:rRNA from 1 species